AACGCACCUUGCACUCUUUGGUAUUCCGAAGAGUAUGUCUGUUUGAGUGUCAUGAAACUCUCAACCCCCUCAUUUUGUAAUGAAAUGUAGCGUGGGCUUGGUUUAUGGCUGUCUGCCGGCGUAAAUGCCGGCUCAGCUGAAAUAUACGAGCAACCCAGUUUAAAUACCUGACGGCUUGACUCGGCGUAAUAACUAUUUCGCUGAGGACGUCUAACCUUUGAAUCGUUAGUGGUGCUUCUAAUGCAUUAAUCAAUUUAAGCUUUAGACCUCAAAUCAGUCAGGACUACCCGCUGAACUUAA
rnacentral:misc_RNA from 1 species